GUGUCCGUCUCCGCCGGCCCCCUUUUGGAGAAGAGAAAUGUCGCGAAGGUUACAAAGUCGGUAAGCUGUAGCAGUUAGAUCUGAGCUCGGUUCGUCUAACCCUACUCAAAGAUAAUUUUCAGGAGGAGGUGAAAUCCUAAUUCUCAGUCGGAGACUUUGAACUUUGUGAGGCCCCAAGCUUCCAUAAACCCCAAGCGUGGGGUGAUGACUAAGGCUCUGGAAUAUGAGCUAGAGCAGGAGACAGCGGUCCACGGGGAGGACAGAGAGUGCAAAGCCCUGGGAGGUUGGCCAGGAGAAGGGGGAGCAGGGCCACGAAGCUCACUCCAGCUGUGAUCAGAUACAAACACAGGAGUUGCUAACAGUAAUCCCGCGCGCAUUUCCAGACUCAACAGUCAGCCCCUAAGGAGCUGGUCCAAAGGGGCUCUCACAUUGACGCUCUUCCCCGCACGGGGGACGUCUGCGUCACCGCACGCCGCUCUCGGCACUGGUAUUGGCUAACUUCCGGAUCUUUGGCUCACCUGAUGGGCGCACGUAAUUGGCUGUUUUAAUGUGAGGCUGCACAGCUUUUCUAAUGCUGGCCAGCCAUUUGGAAAUGAAUCCUUCUGCCUGAGACUAUCUUGUUGGAGUCAUUGCCCAUUUCUGCUGGGAUUUUUUCCUUACUGAUGUGGGGGGAGUGUAUCACAUGUCCCACAUACUUACACUUUGCUUUGUAUACAUGUAAACGGAGCAAAUACGUGUGCUGCAUGCCUUUAAAAAAAAAAGAUUUUAUUAAUUUAUUUGAGAGAGAGAGCACAAGCAGGGAGAGAGGAGCAGAGGAGAAGGAGAAGCAGGGUCCCCCCCCUGAGCAGGGAGCCUGAUGUGGGGCCCCAUCCCAGGACCCUGGGAUCAUGACCUGAGCCCAGGGCAGAUGCUUAACCAACUGAGUGACCCGGGUGCCCUAUGUGCUGUGCUUCUUUUGAACUCUUUCAAGGUAUCUCGUAGGAUUGGCAUUUCAGAUCCGAGAUGGUCAAAUUAUUAACAUUGUUUUAUGACUUGGCUGAUUUCUCCUAUUGAGGAGGGCUGUCCCAGCUUUAAGGUCAGGAAGAUGUUCUCCUACAUUUUUAGCUAAUAAUUGUCACAUUUAGUGGUGGGGUGUGUGUAUUUUGCAGAUAUAUGACUUCCAGAUGCCUUUGGAGGUAGGUCUUUAACAUAUCAUCUCCCUUUUUUGUUUUUUGGCCUGUUCAGAUUUUUCUUUCUUCCUGGGCCAGUUUUGCUAAUAAAUGUUUUCCUAGAAAAGUGUCUGUUUCAUUAAGGUUUUCAGAUGUGGGGUAUUAAGUCCUUCCUGAUCAUAGUUUUUAAUCUCUUGGUUAUGCCCUCUCUUUAAUUCCAGUGUUGUUUAUUUGUGUCUUUUUUUUUUCCUUGCCGCUUUUUGCGAAAGGACUGUCUAUUUUAUUAGUCUUUUCAAAACACCGGCACUUAGGUUUGUCCUAUUUUUUGGUUUGUUUUCUGUUUCCCUAACCUCCAGCUUUUAUUUUCUUUCCUUUUAUUGUCUUUGGAUUUAUUCUGUUGUUCUUUUUCCGUUUCAAAAGUGGACAGUUUGGUUCACUUAUUUGUAAAUCCUUCUUGUUUUCAUAUAAAUGCAGCAGGGGAACACAUGUCUCCCCGAGAAUGCCUUACACCGCGUCCCACAGGUUUCCAUAGGCAGCACCGACAUUUCCAUCAAGUUCUAAAUACUUCACAAAUCCUGUUAGCUUCUCUCUGCGCCAUCCAGAACGGCCCUUGAUUUUGCUGCAGCAGAACUCAUCAGUCUUGUCUGUUAUGAUUAGUACUUUUGUGUCUUUUUCAAAAUGUAUUUCCCUACCCCAAAGGCAUGACCAUAUGGAAUGCUCCGUCCGGUUAUUUUCUAGAAGUGCUACUGUUUUGCCUUUGACCUUCAGAUCUGCAGCUGGAUUCACUUUUGUUUAUGACGUGAGGGAGGAGGGCUCAAUUUAUUUUUUAUCAUAUAGAUCUCCAGUCAGUCUGUGGUUUUUGGAAAGACUGCCCUUCAUCCAGUGCUCUGCAGGGCUCCUUUUUGGAAAAUCAGUGUCCAUACAUGCUUGAAUCUGUUUGGGUUCUCUGUGAUGUUGUGAUUUCAUAAUAAGAAAUGUGUAUUUGGGGGACACCUGGGUGGCUCAGUUGGUGAAGUGUCUGCCUUCAGCUCAGGUCAUGAUCUUGGGGUCCUGGGAUCAAGCCCCUGUUGGCCUCCCUGCUCAGUGGGGAACCUGCUUCUCCCUCUGCCCCUCCCCCUCCCCACUCGCUCUCUCUCUUCUCUCAAAUAAAUAAAUAAAAUCUUUAAAAAGAAACGUAUAUUUGGCCUUCAUUUCUGGCACAGUGCUCCUAAACCCUUGGAAUUUCCUAAGUGAUAAGAGCCAAAAAGGUGUCUUUUGUUAAUCAUAAUAAGCCCCUUUCAGCCACACCAGAGUUCAUGUCAGGGAGCCGGGCUUCCCAGACUUUUGGAAAGCCCCUAAGCCUGGGGGCUGGUUUGACCUGGAACCAACCUCAAUGAGAGGGUUGGAACUUUUGGGACCACCCCCACCACCUCCUGGGAGGGGAAGGGGACUGACACUGAAUUCAUCACCACGGGCCAAUGAUUUAAUCAACCAUGCCUAUUCACUGAAGCCUCUGUACAAAUUCUGAGCUCCCGGGUUGGGAGAGCUUCAGGGUUGGUGAGCCCAUGGAGGUGCUGGGAGGGGGCACACCUCCCCCCAGCCCCCCCACCCCACCCCCUCUCCGGAGAGCGCAUGGAACCUUCCCACAUCCUCUGCCCUAUGCAUCUCUUCCAUCUGGCUUUUCCUGACUAUAGACUUUUAUAAUUAUAAAUCUCAUGCCCAUCCAGUCCUGCCUUGGUGUUUGCUUCUUGGAGGGCAAGAACCAACACACCGUCCACAGAUUUAGAUUUUAUAUCAUCUGAAUGAUAUUCUGUAGUGCUCCAUACAAACAUCCUACACGCCUGCUGUUAGAUUUGCCCCAGUAGGUAAAGGACACGGGUAAGUGGCAUCUCUGAUGGGUUAGAUAUGGCUGCAAAUUCUCUUCCCCUCCUCCCGACAAAGGAUGGAGUCUAUUAUCCACUUCUCUGGGCUGACUGGUGGAAUAUGGCCAAAGUAGCUGGGGUGGGACUUGUGAGUCUAGGUCUCGGGAGGUCGUGCAGCUUCUGCCCCUGCCCCUGUGGCCCCCUCUGCUGAGAGCACCGUGCUGUAAAGAAGGGAUGGAGGACAACGUGGAGAGAGAACCCCACGGGCACCAACCGUGCACGUGAGCCCGACGUCGUCCAGCUGCCCCAACCCCACAGCAGACCCGGAGAGGGAGCCCAGCAAGGCCAGCAGAAAGAAGCACCCAGCCACCCUCCAGAGUGAGAGGGUUUCAUGAGAAACAAUGAGUUGUGGGUCUGUUUAAGAUAUUGAGUGUUUUAAGUGGUUUAUUAUGGGACAAAUGAUAACAACUCCAGUGUUUGUUUUCAAAUUUCAUUUUCUGUUUGUUGCUGCUACAGCGGUUUUGUAUAUCGACCCUACAUCUAUCAACUGCUAAUUAACCUGCACAUUCUUUUGGAUUUUCUGUGUAACUCAUCAACUGCGAAUAAUGGCAAUUUUAUUUCCUCCUUUUCUAAAUCCUCACAUCCUGCAUUGACUUUCCCUUCCUUACCCCACCGGCCGAGACUUCCAAAGCAAUGCCAGAUAAGUGUCCUCGCGGAGUCCCGGCCUUGCCCCAGGUCUCCGGAGAGAACUUUCCACGCUUCACCUGGAGUUACGUGUUUGUCGGUUUUUCCGAAGGUGGGCUUUAUUAAGCAAGGGAACUCCUUGCCAAUAGCAGGUUUACCAAGACUCUUCUAUCCUGAAUGGACAUUGGGUCUCAUCAAACACGUUCACUGUAAGUCCCUGUUAAUGUGAUAAAACACAUUGACCUUACGAUGUCAUCCAAGCCUGUCUUCCCACAAUAAACCCACUUUGCUCGUGACAAGUCGUCUUCCCUCCUACUGCGGGCUUCGGGGGCUGACGCAGAUUCUCCCUCCUCUGUUUGAGCGAGGGACCUGCCCGCACUGCCC